GAGGGACUUGCUUAAUAUAUUUGGUACAAAUAAGAAAAUUCAAUUUAUCCGGGAACGUCAUAUCCACUUAUUACAUGUGCAAAGGCAUAUGGCAAGGCGAGUACUAUAUUCAUGCUGCUCGUUUUCUAUAAAAGACAGUGCGUUUGACAUCCACUUCUGGCUGCACUAACGUAACCAUUUUCAUGGUAAGAUGGAAAGGCUAUUUAUAAGAUACUUUUGGAACAACUGAUUUCUCAUGUCUUCAUCAUUCCUCUACUCCCUUAUUUUCCCUCCUCUCCUGUAAUUUCUUCGCAGACACAAAAUAUAUACGUGUAUGUAUAUAUAAGAAUCAACAAACUGAGUUAAAACUUUUGGUUUUCGUCUUUACAAAUACCUAAGCGAAAUGAUAAAGUUCAAUAAUUAAUUGUGAGACCUUUCAAUUUCUGGCGGGAAUUUCAAAUUUUCAAAACAACAAUAAGUAGUAAAAUCCUAGAAAUU
rnacentral:lncRNA from 1 species